AGAUGGAUUAAAAUGGUAAUCGCGGAGUAAGUCGAAGGAGAGUUUUUAACUCAAGUGGCGGACGGGUGAGUAACACGUGAGAAUUUACCUUUAGGAGGGGGAUAACAAUUGGAAACGAUUGCUAAUACCCCAUAUGCUUUUUUAAGUGAAAUGGAUUUUUCCGCCUAAAGAAAAGCUCGCGGCUGAUUAGCUAGUUGGUAAGGUAAUGGCUUACCAAGGCGACGAUCAGUAUCUGGUUUGAGAGGACGAUCAGACACACUGGAACUGAGACACGGUCCAGACUCCUACGGGAGGCAGCAGUGGGGAAUUUUCCGCAAUGGGCGAAAGCCUGACGGAGCAAUACCGCGUGAGGGAAGAAAGCCUACUGGGUUGUAAACCUCUUUUUUCAGGGAGGAAAAAAAUGACGUGUACCUGAAGAAUAAGCAUCGGCUAACUCCGUGCCAGCAGCCGCGGUAAGACGGAGGAUGCAAGUGUUAUCCGGAAUUACUGGGCGUAAAGCGUCUGUAGGUUGUUUAAUAAGUCAACUGUUAAAUCUUGAGGCUUAACUUCAAAACAGCAGUCGAAACUAUUAGACUAGAGUAUAGUAGGGGUAAAGGGAAUUUCCAGUGGAGCGGUGAAAUGCGUAGAUAUUGGAAAGAACACCGAUGGCGAAAGCACUUUACUGGGCUAUUACUGACACUCAGAGACGAAAGCUAGGGUAGCAAAUGGGAUUAGAUACCCCAGUAGUCCUAGCUGUAAACAAUGGAUACUAGAUGUUGAACAGAUCGACCUGUGCAGUAUUAAAGCUAACGCGUUAAGUAUCCCGCCUGGGAAGUAUGCUCGCAAGAGUGAAACUCAAAGGAAUUGACGG
rnacentral:rRNA from 1 species